rnacentral:rRNA from 1 species
CCCCUAGAUGUUCUGGGCCGCACGCGCGCUACACUGAACAGUUCAACAAGUCUUAACCUUGGCCGAUAGGUCUGGGUAAUCUUUGAACGCUGUUCGUGAUUGGGAUAGACCUUUGCAAUUAUGGGUCUUCAACGAGGAAUUCCUAGUAAACGCAAGUCAUCAGCUUGCAUUGAUUACGUCCCUGCCCUUUGUACAAACCGCCCGUCGCACCUACCGAUUGAAUGGUCCGGUGAAAUCUCGGGACGGCGGCUUGGUCGCUUGCGUCCGACUGCUGAAACUUGAUUAAACCAUAUCAUUUAGAGGAAGGUGAAGUCGUAACA